GACGAACGCUGGCGGCGUGCUUAACACAUGCAAGUCGAACGGAAAGGCCUGCUUUCCCUUGUGGAUUGCGGGUACUCGAGUGGCGAACGGGUGAGUAACACGUGAGUGAUCUGCCCCCAACUUGGGUAUAAGCCUGGGAAACUGGGUCUAAUUCCCGAUAGGACUGCAGGGUGGUGCCUGUGGUGGAAAACGAUUUUCUAGUGGUUGGGGAUGAGCUCGCGGCCUAUCAGCUUGUUGGUGGGGUAAUGGCCUACCAAGGCGGCGACGGGUAGCCGGCCUGAGAGGGUGGACGGCCACAUUGGGACUGAGAUACGGCCCAGACUCCGACGGGAGGCAGCAGUGGGGAAUAUGGCACAAGGGGCGGAAGCCUGAUGCAGCGACGCCGCGUGGGGGAUGACGGCCUUCGGGUGGUAAACUCCUUUCGACCGCGAGGAAGCCACCUGGUUGGAAGGGUGGUGACGGUAGUGGUAGAAGAAGCACCGGCUAACUACGUG
rnacentral:rRNA from 1 species